rnacentral:tRNA from 3 species
GGAAACGUGCCUGAAAGUUAAGGGCCUCCUUGAUAGGGAGGCUAAUAGGGGUUCAAACCCCCUCGCUUCCU